rnacentral:piRNA from 1 species
UGUUUUGGCAAUUUUUUGUUC